rnacentral:rRNA from 1 species
CGGGACGGGUGAGUAAUGUCUGGGAAACUGCCUGAUGGAGGGGGAUAACUACUGGAAACGGUAGCUAAUACCGCAUAACGUCGCAAGACCAAAGAGGGGACCUUGGGCCUCUUGCCAUCGGAUGUGCCCAGAUGGGAUUAGCUAGUAGGUGGGGUAACGGCUCACCUAGGCGACGAUCCCUAGCUGGUCUGAGAGGAUGACCAGCCACACUGGAACUGAGACACGGUCCAG